UUUCACCUGUACAAACACUACCAAACACAUCAUAUCCACAUAAAUACACUCGAUUCUAGUAUUACUCCUUAGUUUUCGAGCAUCAAAUGUGCCAAGAUUUCGUGGCACAUCAACACCCUCAACUUAGAACCAUUACUUGUCCUCAAGUGAUGAGAAAAUCAAUACAUUCAGCCCUCAAAUUAUUCAAAAACUUUUGCAACCACGCAGCAGCC
rnacentral:lncRNA from 1 species